GCCCCCGUAGCUGAGUGGAUACAGCAAUGCCUUCACGAAGCAUGGAUCCCAGGUUCGAAUCCUGGCGGGGGCA
rnacentral:tRNA from 1 species